rnacentral:rRNA from 1 species
CGUGUAGGCGGCUUGAUAAGUCAGAUGUGAAAGCCCUGGGCUCAACCCGGGAAGUGCAUUUGAAACUGUCCUGCUUGAGUAAGGGAGAGGGAAGUGGAAUUCCUGGUGUAGAGGUGAAAUUCGUAGAUAUCAGGAGGAACACCGGUGGCGAAGGCGACUUCCUGGCCCUAUACUGACGCUGAGACGCGAGAGCGUGGGGAGCAAACAGGAUUAGAUACCCUGGUAGUCCACGCCGUAAACGAUGUUCACUAGGUGUUGGGGGUAUUGACCCCCUCAGUGCCGGAGCUAACGCAUUAAGUGAACCGCCUGGGGGAGUACGGUCGCAAGACUAAA